UACGGAGGGGGCUAGCGUUGUUCGGAAUUACUGGGCGUAAAGCGCGCGUAGGCGGACCUGCAAGUCGGGGGUGAAAGCCCGAGGCUCAACCUCGGAACUGCCUUCGAUACUGCGGGUCUCGAGUCCGGGAGAGGUGAGUGGAAUUCCUAGUGUAGAGGUGAAAUUCGUAGAUAUUAGGAAGAACACCAGUGGCGAAGGCGGCUCACUGGCCCGGUAUUGACGCUGAGGUGCGAAAGCGUGGGGAGCAAACAGG
rnacentral:rRNA from 1 species